rnacentral:rRNA from 1 species
GGAGGAAAAGAAACCAACAGGGAUUGCCUUAGUAGCGGCGAGUGAAGCGGCAAUAGCUCAAAUUUGAAAUCUGGCACCUUCGGUGUCCGAGUUGUAAUUUGAAGAAGGUAUCUUUGGUUUUGGCUCUUGUCUAUGUUCCUUGGAACAGGACGUCACAGAGGGUGAGAAUCCCGUGCGAUGAGAUGCCCAAUUCCAUGUAAAGUUCCUUCGACGAGUCGAGUUGUUUGGGAAUGCAGCUCUAAGUGGGUGGUAAAUUCCAUCUAAAGCUAAAUAUUGGCGAGAGACCGAUAGCGAACAAGUACUGUGAAGGAAAGAUGAAAAGAACUUUGAAAAGAGAGUGAAAAAGUACGUGAAAUUGUUGAAAGGGAAGGGCUUGAGAUUAGACUUGGAAUUUUCCAUUUAUGGAGCUUUCCGGGCCAGCAUCAGUUUGGAUGGCAGGAUAAUUGCGUUGGAAAGUAGCACCACUUCGGUGGUGUGUUAUAGACUUCGUCGAUACUGCCUAUCUAGACUGAGGACCGCGUCUUUGACUAGGAUGCUGGCGUAAUGAUCUUAAGCCGCCCGUCUUGAA